rnacentral:rRNA from 1 species
UACGGAGGGGGCUAGCGUUGUUCGGAAUUACUGGGCGUAAAGCGCGCGUAGGCGGAUCUGCAAGUCGGCGGUGAAAUCCCGAGGCUCAACCUCGGAACUGCCUUCGAUACUGCGGGUCUCGAGUCCGGGAGAGGUGAGUGGAAUUCCUAGUGUAGAGGUGAAAUUCGUAGAUAUUAGGAAGAACACCAGUGGCGAAGGCGGCUCACUGGCCCGGUACUGACGCUGAGGCGCGAAAGCGUGGGGAGCAAACAGG